UCCAGAACAAGCGAUAAGCCAAGAAGUAAUUCCAAAAGAAAAACCAACUGAGUUAAUAAAACACAUUCUUAAACAAAUGUGUAUACAUAGUUGUAAAUAUUCUGUUAAAGAAAUUUGCGAUAUUUGUUUUUUAUGUGCAAAAUUAAAUUUAAUCUAUAUUCCUUUAUUUGCAUCAUUAUCUUUUGCAUUUUUAAAUAAAAUUAAUUUAGCAAGCCCUGAAAAUAUGGCUACAAUGAGUUUAAGUUUUUGUCGAAUUCAAAUAAAAGACAUUAAUCUGUUUAACAAAAUAGCAGUUGCUACAAUGAAUAUUAUACACAUGUUUGAUAUAGAAAGUCUCAUAACAGUAUUACUUUCUUUUAGUUAUUUAAAUAUAUCAAAUAAUAUAUUAUUAUAUACUUCUGUUAAUAUAUUUGAUAAAAAUAAACAUAAAUUAAAUGGUACACAAUUGGUUAAAAUAGCUUAUAUAUAUUCAAAAUGUGGAUAUAUUAAUAAUACUAUUAAUUUAAUUUUAAUAGAAAAAGUACCCUCUUUUAUUUUGUCUCUUAAUAAUAUACAAUUGUCAGAAUUAAUAAUUUCAUUAAAUAAAUUAUGUAUUAAUACAUAUUCAAUAAAUAAAUUUUAUACAAAUGUAAAUCUUUUUUAUUUAGAUUUUCCCAUAGCAAUAAAAGUUAUAAAUAUAUUAUCGAGGUUAAAUAAUGUUAACAUUGAGUUUAAAUAUGAUGAAAUUAUAUGUACCGUUCAUAAUUUUUUACAUGUUUUUGUGAAAAGUGGUACUGACUCGGUUGGUACGAUUAGUACUGAUAAUAAAUACUUGAACAAUAAAAUAAAUGACUCAUUUUUACAUACUCCUAAUGGAGUACAAAAAGUUAUUACGAAAAAUGAAAUUAUUAACUCUGUACAUACUGAACAGUCAAAUAUGUAUGAAAUAACGAAUAACACCACAUUCAAUAACAAUUGUAUAAACGACCUUAACGUUAAUAAUUUUAUGAGCGACUUCCAAAAUUAUUAUAAAAAAAAUGAUGAAGAAGACGAAAGGAUAAAUUUCAAUUUUUCAACAAAUUUAGUUAAUUCAGUUAAUUCAGUUAAUUCAAUUAAUUCAAUUAAUUCAGUUAAUUAUAAUAAUCAAUUAAAAAAUGGAUUAAGUUUGAAUGAAAGUUCUAUUUGUUACUUAAUUGUAGAUAUAUUUGAAAGUUUAUGUAAUUUAUUAACAAAAAAUAGUAUACAUAUAGAUAUAAAUUAUGAAAAAAAAUUAAAAAAAUAUUUAAGAUAUAUAAGUCAAGAAAUAAUUAAAUUGAAAGAAUAUAUAAAUUUUAAUUGUUUUAUAAAAAUUUUUUAUUCUUUAUUUAAAUUACCAAUAAUAUGGACCUUACCUAAUUUAUCAUUUGAUCGUAUAAAUGAAAUGAAAGAUAGUUUUUUAUUUUAUGUUGAUAAAAAAAACAAUUUUUAUGAACACUUAUUUUAUAAAUAUUAUUUGAUUUUUAACACUUCUGAAAAUGCAGCUAAUCACAGUUUAAUAUUAUGUUAUAUAAUCAAUUUUUUUAAUUUUAAAACUGAGACAACAUAUAAUAUAUAUUUAGAGCAAAUGUUACAACAUUAUUCUUUAAUAAGAAGAAAUAACAAAAAUCGAUUAAUUUUAAAUGGUCAUAACAUCACUGGCAAUAAUAACAUCACUGGAAAUAAUAAUUAUAAUUAUAUUGUUGAAGAUUAUUCCAUAUAUAAUUAUAUCGAAUAUUAUUACAAAAAUAUAUUUUUAUGGAAUAUAAAUGAACAUAAUAAUAUAGACAGUACAAUACAAACAGAUACUGAUGCUAUAAACAGCGAUUUAUUAUUUAAAUAUACCUUAAAAAAAGAAAAAAUAAAUAAAAUAACACCUUUAGAUUUGUUCAGCUUAGUUCAAAAGUUUAACAAUAAUAUAAAAAUUAAUUUAAAAGAUGGUAUAUAUUAUAUUCCUUUAUUAGAAUAUGACACAUAUAUUGCUUAUUUAUUUUUAGGAGUAAAUGAUUAUUUUUAUUCAUCCAAUAAGAAAGAAG
ensembl:lncRNA